rnacentral:rRNA from 1 species
AGCAGCCGCGGUAAUUCCAGCUCCAAUAGCGUAUAUUAAAGUUGUUGCAGUUAAAAGCUCGUAGUUGAAUUUCGGGAUCAGUACGCUGGUCGUGCCUUUGGUAUGUACUGGUGUCACUGAUUCCUCCCUUCUGAAGAACCGUUAUGCCAUUUAUUUGGUGUGGCGGGAAAUCAGGACUGUUACUUUGAAAAAAUUAGAGUGUUUAAAGCAGGCUCGCGCUUGAAUACAUUAGCAUGGAAUAAUGAAAUAGGACGUUUGAUUCUAUUUUGUUGGUUUCUAGGAUCGACGUAAUGAUUAAUAGGGAUAGUUGGGGGCAUUAGUAUUCAAUUGUCAGAGGUGAAAUUCUUGGAUUUAUUGAAGACUAACUACUGCGAAAGCAUUUGCCAAGGAUGUUUUCAUUAAUCAAGAACGAAAGUUAGGGGAUCGAAGACGAUCAGAUACCGUCGUAGUCUUAACCAUAAACUAUGCCGACUAGGGAUCGGAUGAUGUUAAUUUUUUAAUGACUCAUUCGGCGCCUUACGGGAAACCAAAGUGUUU